AUGCUUGCUUCGGCAGCACAUAUACUAAAAUCGCAACAACUGGAAGAUUAGCAUGGCCUCAUGCAAGGAUGACACUCAAAUUAGUGAAGCGUUCCAUAUUUUU
rnacentral:snRNA from 1 species